UAGUGCAAAGGAUGUGAUGAAGUGCAACUCUUAGUUGGGCGCCUGAGUUGCAUGGAGCGAGUGGCGCAACCGGCCUUUACUUUU
rnacentral:ncRNA from 2 species